CACAUCUGAAACCCUCCGAUUGAAACGUCAAUCAUCUUCUUCAAAGAUAGUACGUCUUCUCUGUUUCCUAUAGUAAAUCUCCUUUAGAGCUUCGCUCACUUCAACAAUUAAUUAUGUUCUUCACUCUCCACUUAAUGAAUUCGUAUCACCUUCUUUUCUUUCUACUUCUUUAUAAACUUACUUCCAAAGAAACCCGAAACUCUCAUAAGCCGAAGUUAUGGUGAUGAAACCCAAUCAACAAUGGCCCCUAACAGUUCUAAAGCUAAAGCGGCAUGAAUUGUAUCCUCUCCAGUGUCUUCCGCUGUGAUAUCCAUCCGGACCUCCACCUCAAACGUUUUCGCACGAAGGAGACCCUAUCAGGAGUACUUCUCAGUAGGCUUUCCGCCUCUGCCUCAGCCUCCACCACAGCAAUACAAUCACUGCCUGCUCUCAUGAUAAUAAGCAACGAACGAAUCGUUCCAACUCCAUCUGUUUAUCAUCCUAUAUAAACCUCUAAUAUGAUUCUCUUAAACCAAACCCAUUUCAAAACAUUGCGUUAGAUUUCUAAUCUUCAUGUACAUUUUGCAGGAAGAAAUUGUAAAGGCAGUCACUACGGAUCCAAACACUGGAUUGAAAGUUCCUUUCAGCAGGUUCAAGAUGUAGAGUAUGAGUGGGGCUCUGGAGACAGAUGAGAGAGUAUCGGCUCUAUUGGUGGUGCAUGAAGCAAUAGAACCGUGAGGAGACAGAGGUUCUAAAACAUUUUGGAUUCAUACUUUUUGUGAUGGAUAAGAUCAAGAGACUGUCGUAUGUGCCUGCAGCACUUAGUCUGAAGCAUGCACCUUCUGUGUUAUCAAGAUGAAGAAUAAACUCGCCUAACACAAGUACAACCCGCACACGUAUUAAGAUCACUUGAUCUACGAGAUAAAAAAAAGGUCUGUAAAGUCUCUUUGGAAGCGCAACUUUUUUCUAAAUCUCCGCGCUCCGGGUGUCCCCUUUCUCGAGAGUCAACACUUUGCCAUAGUUUUUCUAACAUAUUUUUUUUUCUUCUGCUUUUUACUAUUUUUAUAGAUGGAAUUUUCUGUAUGAAUUAGUUUUUAUCCAUAUUCCUUCAUAUUGGUUAACUAUCCACUUCUAAUUUGUUCUACCCAUUUAUGUUACGAUUA